rnacentral:rRNA from 1 species
AUUGAACGCUGGCGGCAUGCCUUACACAUGCAAGUCGAACGUGAAAGGGGGGCAACCCCCGAGUAGAGUGGCGGACGGGUGAGUAACGCGUGGGAACGUACCUUUUGGUUCGGAACAACUGAGGGAAACUUCAGCUAAUACCGGAUAAGCCCUUACGGGGAAAGAUUUAUCGCCGAAAGAUCGGCCCGCGUCUGAUUAGCUAGUUGGUGAGGUAAUGGCUCACCAAGGCGACGAUCAGUAGCUGGUCUGAGAGGAUGAUCAGCCACAUUGGGACUGAGACACGGCCCAAACUCCUACGGGUGGCUG